rnacentral:rRNA from 1 species
AUUAAACGCUGGCGGCAUGCCUUACACAUGCAAGUCGAACGGCAGCACGGGGGCAACCCUGGUGGCGAGUGGCGGACGGGUGAGUAAAGCAUCGGAACGUAUCCUGGAGUGGGGGAUAACGUAGCGAAAGUUACGCUAAUACCGCAUAUUCUGUGAGCAGGAAAGCAGGGGAUCGCAAGACCUUGCGCUCUGGGAGCGGCCGAUGUCGGAUUAGCUAGUUGUGGGGUAAAGGCCUACCAAGGCGACGAUCCGUAGCGGGUCUGAGAGGAUGAUCCGCCACACUGGGACUGAGACACGGCCCAGACUCCUACGGGAGGCAGCAGUGGGGAAUUUUGGACAAUGGGGGCAACCCUGAUCCAGCCAUGCCGCGUGAGUGAAGAAGGCCU